GCAUGUCACCACACCUGGCGAAAAAUCUCUACAUUUUGAGAAGGUUUGCCCACUUGAAGACGAAUUUGCAGCAUCGCUUGGGGAACAUCUGAAUGAAGCUGUCCCUGAACCAUGAAGCUGCUGCCAGAAUGGAUCGCAGAGCAAAUCCCUCACCAGUGGCUGGGAGCACCGUGACUGGGCAGAACAACAUCAGGCGGACUUUGUCUACACACCAGGGAAGAUGGCUUCAGGCAGUCCACAUACUCCCAUGUCUGUGACACAAAGGUAACUGUGGCCACGUGGACCAAGCCAACGCCUGCUCCUCUCAUCCCUGCUGAGAUCAGUAAGGCAAUUCUAGCCCAUACCACC